rnacentral:rRNA from 1 species
GACGAACGCUGGCGGCGGGCUUAACACAUGCAAGUCGAACGGAAAGGCCCUGCUUUUGUGGGGUGCUCGAGUGGCGAACGUAUGAGUAACACGUGAGUAACCUUCCCUUGACUUUGGGAUAACUUCAGGAAACUGGGGCUAAUACCGGAUAGGUGCUCCUGCUGCAUGGGGGUGGUUGGAAAGUUUCGGCGGUUGGGGAUGUACUCGCGGCUUAUCAGCUUGUUGGUGGGGUAGUGGCUUACCAAGGCUUUGACGGGUAGCCGGCCUGAGUGGGUGACCGGCGACAUUGGGACUGAGAUACGGCCCAGACUGCUAAGGGAGGCAGCAGUGGGGAAUAUUGCACAAUGGGCGGAGGCCUGAUGCAGCAACGCCGCGUGCGGGAUGACGGCCUUCGGGUUGUAAACCGCUUUCGCCUGUGACGCAGCGUGAGUGACGGUAAUGGGUAAAGAAGUCCCGGCUAAAUACGUG